rnacentral:rRNA from 2 species
UGAGGGGGGCUGCUCCUAGUACGAGAGGACCGGAGUGGACGCAUCACUGGUGUUCGGGUUGUCAUGCCAAUGGCACUGCCCGGUAGCUAAAUGCGGAAGAGAUAAGUGCUGAAAGCAUCUAAGCACGAAACUUGCCCCGAGAUGAGUUCUCCCUGAGACUUUAGGUCUCCUGAAGGAACGUUGAAGACGACGACGUUGAUAGGCCGGGUGUGUAAGCGCAGCGAUGCGUUGAGCUAACCGGUACUAAUGAACCGUGAGGCUUAACCUUACAACGCCGAAG